CAUUAUGGGUAUGUAGACAGUAGUAGCUAUAGAUGUUCCUCACAACUCCUACUAUACUAUGUUACCACUGUCUGUCCGUUCGCCCGUCCCAUUAUGGGUGUGUAGACAGUAGUAGCUAUAGAUAUUCCUCACAACUCCUACUAUACUAUGUUACCACUGUCUGUCCGUUUGUCUGUCCCAUUAUGGGUGUGUAGACAGUAGUAGCUAUAGAUAUUCCAC
rnacentral:lncRNA from 1 species